CUGAUGUCUGAGUCACCAUAGUUUCCAAAUGAAGUACUGUCAGAAGCAGCCAACUGAUACUGGUCAAGCCAAGGAUGUCAAAGAAAGGUUCACUUACUUCCAGGGGCUACAGGUGCCUGAAUGUGGAGGUUCAAGAGCCCCAUCAGCAUUGAACCCAUGCCUUCAUCAUGCACAGUAUCUUCUGCUCUGAGUGCACCAGAAGCCAUCUAACCAACAUUACCAGUCAUUCUGCUAAGAGAUGCUUGUUUAUACCUGUUGGGUGUCAGGCACAGCGCUAUGUACUGGAUGCACAGUGAGAACAAAACAGACCUGCUCCUGCCCUCAUGGAGCUUACAAACAUUUAAAAAGCACACACAGGAGUAUGUAUACAAUUACCCAUUUUGAUGAGCACUAUGAAGGGAAAAUCUGGUGUGUGAGGAGAGAAACCGGGGGGGUGGGAGUCUUCUCAGGGUGAAUUCUCAGAGAAGGCCUCUCCAAGAAAAAUAUAAGAAUUAGAUAUGAAACCCAAA